GCUUACGGCCAUACCACCCUGAACACGCCCGAUCUCGUCCGAUCUCGGAAGCUAAGCAGGGUCGGGCCUGGUUAGUACUUGGAUGGGAGACCGCCUGGGAAUACCAGGUGCUGUAAUUU
rnacentral:rRNA from 1 species